AGCGCACACAGGGGAGGGGGCAAAGAGACAGGGAGACACAGAAUCUGAAGCAGGCACCAGGCUUGAAACCACGAACCAUAAGAUCAUGACCCAAGCUGAAGUUGGACCCUUAAAUGACUGAGCCACCCAGGAGCCUCUUGAUGUGUUCUGUUAGACAUCAGUAUCUUCUACUUGCCUGCUGACCCAUUCAACUGCUUUACGGUGCUGUUUCAUUAUUAUUAUUAACAGGUGUAUAAGAAGGCAAAAUUAAAACCAAAUAAGUGUAAAGACCUCAAGGCGGGUGGAGUAUAGUGGGGGUACAGCUAAGUGGGAGGAGGCCACAUUUUCAGAUUUUCAGCUGCUUAUUUGUGGACAUGUAGGGCUUCUAGUUUUGUUGUGUUCAAUGUGCCCUAUUUAAUAUAAUCGGGGUACGUUUGGUUCUCUCAAAGGUUUCUUUCCAUUAUUAAAUUUCAAAAGCUUUUAAUAAUUUUAUAAAGCUUAUAAAGACUAGUUCUUUUAUGUUUUGGUAAAACCAUUUUUAAAAAAAAUUUAAUGACUGAUGCUACCUUGAAGCCAUCUGAGGGUUCUGGGCUGUGGAGAGCAGAAAUUAAUGAUGCCUGACUUGUCUAACUUCUGCAGGUGGAGGAGUGCCUUUGGAUCAGGCGCCCUCUGGGUUGAAGUUUAUUAGAGUAUGAACAUUCUACUGAGCUAUCACUGUGGUACCUAAAACAGCUUCUUUUCAGAAGGAUUGGGCCUCUUCUUUGGUAGCUGACUCAACAGGCAAAUGACUACUCCCAGGGCACAUUAAUAAACACCCAUGUUCUUGGCUGUUGUGGAUCUGUGAACCAAUAGUACCCUUGAAGCAGGGAUAUUAUUAAGCUGAGCAGCUUCGAAGUCUACUCGGGUUUGCAAUUAAGCAGUACUAAAAAUUAAUAAAAAUUAUAGGUAUUAAAAAUGAAGGUAGUAAACUAUAGCUAUUGACCAUUUUGUAAAUUUCAGCAUUAAAUAAUGUUUAUACACAUACAUAUAUAUAUAUGACUAUAAAUAAUAUUACAAACUAUCCUCUGGUACAAGGUAAUCGUUUACUUUUAACCUUUAACUGGCUAAUAUCUAAGGAUUUUUUGGUUUUCUGCAUAGUGCAAUAGAUGGUGAUACAAUUCUAGCUUUACCUGAAAAUUCUGUUUUACCCGAAAAAAGGUUCCCAGAAAAGUUAGAUAUUUCUUAAAUUUUAAUAGAAUGGCUCUUAAAAUUAUUUCACAUGAUAUAUAAGGCAUGGAGCAGUGAACAUUGUUUAGCUGAAAUUCCAAAAGAGAUGGCAAUUUAAAGGAAUGUUUGUUCUGUAAUAAACCUUGGGUCAGAGGUAGCCUCUGGAUAUUGCAUUCUUAAGAUAGGAUCUAAGGAUUUGCCCUAUAUUUGCACUAUAAAAUGUUUUAUUAAAGUACUGGUAUGUUGGAAAAAAUACCUACAGUGGAUUUGCUAAGAUGAUUUUACACGUAAACAACCCUGGCACUCUUGAUCUUUCGUACUCUGGUUUACUUUUUCUUUAUACUUUUUCUCAAAUCACUUAUUAACUACUAGACUGUUACUUUACUAAUCUAUCAUGUGUACAAAUCACUUCUUUCUCUCCAUGGUAGAAUAUAAGGUAUGUGCCGGAAGAGAUCUUUCUCUAGUAUGUUCAUCUACAAGCAUCUCCAACAAUGCCAAGAGCAUUGUAGUUAUUCAACAAUAGAUAUUGUUGAAUGAAUGAAUUAAUAAGAACAAUGGGUUUUUUUUUCUCAAAAAGCAUCAUCCUUACAUGUGCUAUAAUUUUUAUUUAAAAUUUGCUUAAGAUUAGAUAUUUAAAAUACACUAUGGGAACUUAAGUUAUUAAAAUACUUAUUUCAAAUACUUAUUCCAAAUUCUGUUCUAAUAUCGUUUAAAUAUUCUGUACUUUUUUAUGAAAUAAUCUUGGUUCCUUUAUAUUUCAUGCUAACAUUUUAAGAAAAAUGGAUUUAAGACCUAGAAUUGACAAAUUAGAAAUUUCACUUUUAAAUCAACAAUUGCUAUUUUUACUGAUCGCAGCCAAUUUCUUUGUUUCCUACUUUAAGGCCCCAGAGUAUUUGUCUUAAAGACACACUUAAAUUCCUCUGGAAGUAAAAGGUUAUACUUGACAGGAGAAAGAGAAAUUAUAUUACCUAUAAGGUAUACUGCUCUAGAAAAAAUGAGAAAUUUUUUAUUACUUAUAUAAAAAUACAAUUGGAACUUUCUAGUCAAUAUUUAUAUUUUAUAUCUAAAAGUCUUAACACAGUCUGCUUUAAUAAGGGCUGCCUGAAAUGGUGCUUUUAAAAAUGCAAUGAAGGUGGGCACCUGGGUGGCUCAGUCUGUUAAAUGUCUGACUUCGGCUCAGGUCAUGGUCUCAAGGUUCAUGGGUUUGAGCCCCACAUCAGGCUCUGUGCUGACAGCUUAGAGCCUGGAGCCUGUCUUCAGAUUCUGUGUCUCCCUGUCCCUCUCCUGCUUGCUCUGUCUCUCUCUUUCAAAAGUAAAUAAAAACUAACAUUUCAAAAAAAAUUAAAAAGGCAAUGAAGGUAAACAAUGUAAUGUUGAAGUAACAAAUGUAUAAUGUAUACAUAUCACUUGUUUUAUGUAUUUUGUUAGGUUUUCUACUUACAGAGAAAGUGAAAUCCUCUCAAAAUUAACCACUGAUGGACAGAAGUAGAGUUUUCUUGCUGAAACUCUGGGGAUUUAAAAUGAGCAUCUUUUGCACGACCUUCUUACACGAAAAACAGUUGAAACUUAAUGUUCCACAUCAUUCUGCCAUGCAUUAUCUAAAUAAACCUUUGUGAGCUGCAUGGCAUCCAUUUUCAAUUUUCUUGCCCAGCGUAACUUGGGAGGCUACAUCCUCUAGGACCACAUGUACACAGCUGUCAGAGUGUGGUUUCUUGAAUGCAUUUAUUUUUUUUUUAUGUAGCUUUUUCAAGUAGGCUUAGUAAAUAUUCUCCUGAGCAUUGAAGACAAUGUGCUUCCCACUCAACUUUUUCUCCAACUCAUGGACUUAACAGACUUUUUUUCUAGAAAGAUUUCAGUUGAGGAAUAGAAAGAACAGAAGAUUGUAAUAGCUUUCUGAUGACCGUCAACUUCAGUUUCCUUGGCUGCUAUUAUAUUCAGCUCCCAUAGCUGGUCCUUCACAUAUGAAUUAACCUCCAGCCUAAGGAGAGUCUGAGAGACAUAGAAAAGAAGUGGCGUGGCUUUUCACCUUUAGGCUUCACCAUCUUUAGGGCCCUGCCUGAAUUACGUCCUGCUGGUUGAGCGCUGGCCCAGGAAGAGAAUACUUUAUUUUUAAAGUUUCCUCAGCCAUGUAUUAGAAACAUCAGAUACUGUGGUAUUAAACAAGAUGACCAAUGAGGCUGUAUUCCAGUUCAUAGUCUACUUUGACAACCCUACCUUGUAAUGUCAGUCAAAUGUGUCCCAUCUUUUCCACCUUGACUGCCACAAUUUCUGUCUAGAUACUGAUAAUUACUAGCUUGGCUUAUUGACACUGAUUUUCCUAGCAUCCACUCUGGAAGUCCAGUAAUUCCUUAUCCACAGAGCUAUAUAGAGGAUACAGCAUUUUAAAAAGGCAAAUUACUUGGAAUGUGAAAUUUUCCUCUGCAUUAAGUGGAAACUAUACAUGAAAGGAAUGAAAUGAGGAGGAAGAGAAAAUAGCCUUGAAAGAGAACAGAAAAGCAUAACGUUUUGAACAGUUGGGUUCUUCGCUCCUUGAACCAUACCUUUUUUUUUUUUUUAAUUUUUAUUUAUUUUGGGCAGAGUACAAGUGGGGAGGGGCAGAGAGAAGGGAACAGAGGAUCUGCUUCAGAUCCUGAAGCAGGCUGUGACAGCAGCAAGCCCAAUGUGGGGCUCAAACUCAUGAACUGUGAGAUCAUGACCUGAGCCGAAGUCCAACGCUCAACCAACUGAGCCACCCAGGUGCCCCAAACCAUACCUUCUGCAGGUAUGGCUGCAGACUUCUCUUUAUAAGCUAUAUACUAUAUUCAGUGCAAUUUUGCCUGUUGUCUGUCCCACUAACCAGCUUGCUCCCAUACGAUUGACUCCCUGUCUGUCCCACUAAUAUGAAUGUCAGUGCCCAUGUUGACUGCCACUUUAAGAUUAACAGCUUCUGGGAUGCCUGGGUGCCUCAAUCCGGUAAACAUCUGACGUCGGCUCAGGUCACAAUCUCGCAAUUUGUGGGUUCAAGCCCCGUGUAGGCUCUGUGCCGACAGCUCAGAACCUGGAGCCUGCUUCAGAUUCUGUGACUCCUCUCCCUGCCCACCCCACCCCCCGCUCAGGCUAUGUCUCUUUAUCUCUCAAAAAUAAACAUUAAGUAUAUUUUAAAAAAAAAGAUUAACAACUUCAUAGACCGUCCACCUGGCUUUGAAUUUAUUUUCAGAGAUACUACUUUUUGGAUUGUCUCCUCUUCCCUAAUUGCCAAUCCCAGCUUUAUUGUGAAGGCGGUAGUGGUUAAGAUUGAUGGACCCAAGUUUCUGAGUACAUUAUUCUACAAUAUUCCGCCUAGGUUUCCAGAUUCAGGUUUCCUUUAAGUUAAAAACAAAAACAAAAAAACCCAAACCAAAACAAACAAAAAACACACAAAAUUAUGCUUCUGCAUAGUUGGGCAGGGUAAAAAAAUACCCAACUGGGCUAUGAGAUAGACUUUUUUUUUUUUUUUUGCUUUCAACUUUUGAAUACGUAUGUAUUGUACAUGAAUGCAUGUUAUUUUUUGGUGUGCUGUACACAACAGUAAGUGAUUUAAACUGUGUUUCUAUUUUUGGAGUGCUUUCGGUAUUCCAGAGGACACAGACUAUCACGAUAUUGAGAGUUGUUCUACAAUAAAGAAGUAGAGGGGUCAUUCAAGUACCUCAUUGAAACCUCUCAGUCCACCAAGUCAGGUCUUUUUGUUUUGUUUUGACAAUAAUUUUUAAAAGAUUUGGGUCACCAAGGAAGGAGUUAGGGUUAUGUGGAAAAGAUGGCAGGGACCUCAGCGUCUUCAUUGGGUGGAUGGGGGUUAUUGAGAGAAACAGCAGGAAAGGUAAAUGGGAGCUUCUUCAUGAAGACCCUUGUGAGCCUUGUAGAAAAAUUUGGAUUGUAUCCUGAUGCAGGACAUGUGUAUUCAAAACAUCUAGUAAUCUUACUCCAGCCUGGAGUCUUAAUCCAUAGGUCUGAAGUGAAAGUUGCUUUCCUGCAUUUGUAAUAUGCUCUAUGUGUUGCUGAUGCUGCAGGUUUGUGGCCCACACUUGAGAUAGCCUUCUCCUAAGGGACAUAGUAAGAAUUUGAAGUAGAUCAUGAAAUCCAAUCAUGACUUGUUUGUGUUCUGAAAAGAUAGCUGUGAUUUCAGAAUAGAGAAUUACCUGAAUGGGGCAAGAUUGCACCCAGCAAGUUUUUUUAGUAGGGUGUGUUAGUAAUCCUGGUUAGAUGUAACAGGGACUUAGCCUGCUAGAUGGCCCCAGGGAUAGAGAGAACUAAGCACAUUCAGAGAUGCUUAGGAGGCAAAGAUGAGGAUCUUGAAAAUAGGUUGGAUUUUGGAAGUGAAACAGAAAAUAGACAAUAAGGAUUAUUAGAUUCCUGGUUUGGUCAAAUUUAUAGCUGCUCAAUGUGACAAAGUAUCUGUGGAAAGACUGUAAAACAUGCAAACAAUAUGAAAAGGUGCUAUUUUUUUUUAUUAUAAAUUAGAAAUACCUGCUUAUUAUCUGUAAAUUUAGAGAUGUAAUAUGUUUGGCAUGAAUACAGAAUCAAAAAUAAAGAGUUUUUUUCUUUGUUCUAUGGCUCAAAUAGAGACUUCUCUUUUCUUAAAUUAUUAUAUGUUGACGGGCUCCGUGCUGACAGCUCAGAGCCUGGAGCCUGCUUCAGAUUCUGUGUCUCCCUCUCUCUGCCCCUUCCCUGUUCAUGCUCUGUCUUUCUCUGUCUCUCAGAAAUGAAUAAAUGUUAAAAAAAUUUUUUUAAUUGUUAAACGUUGAGAUGAGUCAAUAAAAUGAACUCCCUUGAGUUUGGCAUGAUGGACCCAAGGAACUGUUAGUAAUGCAGUUACCACAGGGAAUGUCUUCAAUUUCUCCUGGCUGUUACCUUUCAGCUCUGACUUUGUUCAGUUAGACUCUUGUGAGUGGGUAAAGGAUUAUGAUGAAACAUCUAUUUCAAGAUACUUUAAAUCUUACUUUGCUAAAUCCAUUGAUGUUGAAGUUUUUUUUUUUUAUUUAGUAAGAUUAACUUUUUUUUUUUUUUUUUUUUUUUU